AACUCCGGGAAACCGGGGCUAAUACCGGAUGCUUGAUUGAACCGCAUGGUUCAAUUAUAAAAGGUGGCUUUUAGCUACCACUUACAGAUGGACCCGCGGCGCAUUAGCUAGUUGGUGAGGUAACGGCUCACCAAGGCAACGAUGCGUAGCCGACCUGAGAGGGUGAUCGGCCACACUGGGACUGAGACACGGCCCAGACUCCUACGGGAGGCAGCAGUAGGGAAUCUUCCGCAAUGGACGAAAGUCUGACGGAGCAACGCCGCGUGAGUGAUGAAGGUUUUCGGAUCGUAAAACUCUGUUGUUAGGGAAGAACAAGUACCGUUCGAAUAGGGCGGUACCUUGACGGUACCUAACCAGAAAGCCACGGCUAACUACGUGCCAGCAGCCGCGGUAAUACGUAGGUGGCAAGCGUUGUCCGGAAUUAUUGGGCGUAAAGCGCGCGCAGGCGGUUUCUUAAGUCUGAUGUGAAAGCCCCCGGCUCAACCGGGGAGGGUCAUUGGAAACUGGGGAACUUGAGUGCAGAAGAGGAGAGUGGAAUUCCACGUGUAGCGGUGAAAUGCGUAGAGAUGUGGAGGAACACCAGUGGCGAAGGCGACUCUCUGGUCUGUAACUGACGCUGAGGCGCGAAAGCGUGGGGAGCGAACAGGAUUAGAUACCCUGGUAGUCCACGCCGUAAACGAUGAGUGCUAAGUGUUAGAGGGUUUCCGCCCUUUAGUGCUGCAGCAAACGCAUUAAGCACUCCGCCUGGGGAGUACGGUCGCAAGACUGAAACUCAAAGGAAUUGACGGGGGCCCGCACAAGCGGUGGAGCAUGUGGUUUAAUUCGAAGCAACGCGAAGAACCUUACCAGGUCUUGACAUCCUCUGACAACCCUAGAGAUAGGGCUUCCCCUUCGGGGGCAGAGUGACAGGUGGUGCAUGGUUGUCGUCAGCUCGUGUCGUGAGAUGUUGGGUUAAGUCCCGCAACGAGCGCAACCCUUGAUCUUAGUUGCCAGCAUUCAGUUGGGCACUCUAAGGUGACUGCCGGUGACAAACCGGAGGAAGGUGGGGAUGACGUCAAAUCAUCAUGCCCCUUAUGACCUGGGCUACACACGUGCUACAAUGGGCAGAACAAAGGGCAGCGAAGCCGCGAGGCUAAGCCAAUCCCACAAAUCUGUUCUCAGUUCGGAUCGCAGUCUGCAACUCGACUGCG
rnacentral:rRNA from 1 species